rnacentral:rRNA from 1 species
UACAGAGGGUGCGAGCGUUAAUCGGAAUUACUGGGCGUAAAGCGUGCGUAGACGGUUAUUUAAGUCGGGUGUGAAAGCCCCGGGCUCAACCUGGGAAUUGCAUUCGAGACUGAAUAGCUAGGGUACGGUAGAGGGAAGUGGAAUUUCCGGUGUAGCGGUGAAAUGCGUAGAUAUCGGAAGGAACAUCAGUGGCGAAAGCGAAUUCCUGGACCAGUACCGACGUUCAGGCACGAAAGCGUGGGGAGCAAACAGG